GCUGGGCAUGGUGGGACCUGUAGUCCCAGCUACUUGGGAAGCUGAGGUGGGAGGAUCGCUUGAGCCCAGAUAUUCUGGGCUGUAGUGUGCUAUGCCAAUUGGGUGCCCACACUAAGUUUGGCAUCAAUAUGGUGACCUCCCAGAAGCGGGGGACCACCAGGUUGCCUAAGGAAGGGUGAACCGGCCAAGGUCAGAAACGGAGCAGGUCAAAACUCCCGUGCUCAUCAGUAGUAGGAUCACACCUGUGAAUAGCCACUGCACUCCAGCCUGGGCAACAUAGCGAGACCCCGUCUCU
rnacentral:SRP_RNA from 1 species